AUUAAAUCUAAGCAUGUUUGGGUAGUUAGAGGAAAUGCCUGCUGUGAAGAGACUCUGGAAAAUUGCUGCUUUCAGAUUAGACACCUUUACAGCAACAUUUGUGGAAAGCUCAUGAGAACUGGAAAAUAGCUCAUUUGUAGGAGGAAAACGGGGAGUCACACCAAGCAAAUACACAGCUUCAUCCACUGGGCAUUUCACGGGUGGAUCCUGCCUGAAAAACUAGGCCUCGGGAACAUUAAGAUUGGAUCAAAGGCUGAGCAUCUUUGGUGUCCCCAGAUCAAGCUUGUGUUGGCCUGUAGCUCCCAAACCAAAAUGCUCUUCUGAUCAUCUCUGGCCUGACCCUUUCAGUUUCUUGAGUAUUGGGAUUUGGCACAGGAGCAACAUCCAUAUCAAGUUAGAGAAGGUGAAGGAAAAUGAAUCAACUGCUUAAAAAUCAUCAGCAUUUUUGAUCUGCUAAUAAGAUCCUGAAUAUUUAAAAAUCAGAGAGGAAGGAUUAAUACAGGUGGAACAGUUCAAACAAAGACAUCCUUCCCUGUUUCUGGCAGCCAGACUAUCUUUAAAGCAGCACAUGGAAACACUGAAAACUCUGAACGCUGGCUUCAGUGAGAAACAAGAAGCUUUUGAACAACAAAAGCCUGGAUCAAAUCUUGAGGUUUUGCUCUCAAGCUGGAUACCAGGCUGCCUGCAGCAAUGGAAUUCCCUGCUUCCUAACCUGAGCAGGGACAGAGGUUAUCACUGACUAGGCUAUGAUGAACUGUAUGGAAACACAGCCUGUGAUAUGUCAGGCAAGUCAGAAAAUUUUGCUCUCUUCCACACAAAGGACAGCUCCUGUCACUGACAUCAGUGGCCUGGAUUCAGAGUGGGAAGAGCAGAAGUAUCUAAAAUCUGUUCCUAGCUAGCAACAAACCUUGAUGUGACAGCACAGGAGGAAAGCAAAUAGCUGGGACCUGUUCCUGCAGUGCUCAAGCAGUUUCUGUGCUCCCAGAAAAAUGCGGUUUUGCCUUGGGAGGCUGAGGAGUCAGGAUCAAUUACUCCACAGCUCUGCUGGACUCUGGGGUGUAAGGUCACCAUCUGAAUUUCUCCUCCCAUGAUGAGCAACUUCCUCACACCAAGCAUGGAAAGGCAUAUUCAGUAUGACUCUGCACCAGAGUGAGGAGUGGUAUUUCUAUUUCCCUUGAGGAACAGUGGUCACAUAACCCACUUAAAAUAGCCCAGGUUUUGGUUUUUCAUUCUAGAAACAAAAUUAUUUAUAGCUAGCGUGA